CCUGCAAGUCGAGCGGUAGCACAGGGAGCUUGCUCCUGGGUGACGAGCGGCGGACGGGUGAGUAAUGUCUGGGAAACUGCCUGAUGGAGGGGGAUAACUACUGGAAACGGUAGCUAAUACCGCAUAACGUCUUCGGACCAAAGAGGGGGACCUUCGGGCCUCUUGCCAUCAGAUGUGCCCAGAUGGGAUUAGCUAGUAGGUGAGGUAAUGGCUCACCUAGGCGACGAUCCCUAGCUGGUCUGAGAGGAUGACCAGCCACACUGGAACUGAGACACGGUCCAGACUCCUACGGGAGGCAGCAGUGGGGAAUAUUGCACAAUGGGCGCAAGCCUGAUGCAGCCAUGCCGCGUGUAUGAAGAAGGCCUUCGGGUUGUAAAGUACUUUCAGCGAGGAGGAAGGCAUUGUGGUUAAUAACCGCAGUGAUUGACGUUACUCGCAGAAGAAGCACCGGCUAACUCCGUGCCAGCCGCCCC
rnacentral:rRNA from 1 species